GGCCCUGUGUCUGAGCGGUAGAGGUGCAGGUAAGCAUAACCUGUUACGAUGGUUCGAAUCCAUCCGGGGCCU
rnacentral:tRNA from 1 species